rnacentral:sRNA from 6 species
AUAUCUCUCCGUACGGGAAGGAUGAGAAGCUUCGACUAAGGUUCGAUUCGAGCGCAGCGAGAACGCGUUGCCGCA